rnacentral:rRNA from 1 species
AUUGAACGCUGGCGGCAGGCCUAACACAUGCAAGUCGAGCGGAGCGGCGGACGGGUGAGUAAUGCCUAGGAAUCUGCCUGGUAGUGGGGGAUAACGUCCGGAAACGGGCGCUAAUACCGCAUACUAUCAGAUGAGCCUAGGUCUGAUUAGCUAGUUGGUGGGGUAAAGGCCUACCAAGGCGACGAUCCGUAACUGGUCUGAGAGGAUGAUCAGUCACACUGGAACUUAGACACGGUCCAGACUCCUACUAUGUUCAUCAGUCUAAAAUAUGGGACAAGUGGCUAAAGCCUGAUCCAGCCAUGCCGCGUGUGUGAAGAAGGUCUUCGGAUUGUAAAGCACUUUAAGUUGGGAGGCGUUACCAACAGAAUAAGCACCGGCUAACUUCGUGCCAGCAGCCGCGGUAAUUC